UGGGGAAUAUUGCACAAUGGGCGCAAGCCUGAUGCAGCAACGCCGCGUGCGGGAUGACGGCCUUCGGGUUGUAAACCGCUUUCACCAGGGACGAAGUGCCUUUCGGGGUGUGACGGUACCUGGAGAAGAAGCACCGGCUAACUACGUGCCAGCAGCCGCGGUGAUACGUAGGGUGCGAGCGUUGUCCGGAUUUAUUGGGCGUAAAGAGCUCGUAGGUGGUUGAUCACGUCGGAAGUGAAAACUUGGGGCUUAACCCUGGGCGUGCUUUCGAUACGGGUUGACUUGAGGAAGGUAGGGGAGAAUGGAAUUCCUGGUGGAGCGGUGGAAUGCGCAGAUAUCAGGAGGAACACCAGUGGCGAAGGCGGUUCCCUGGACCUUUCCUGACGCUGAGGAGCGAAAGCGUGGGGAGCAAACAGGCUUAGAUACCCUGGUAGUCCACGCUGUAAACGGUGGGUACUAGGUGUGGGGUCCAUUCCACGGAUUCCGUGCCGUAGCUAACGCAUUAAGUACCCCGCCUGGGGAGUACGGCCGCAAGGCUAAAAAC
rnacentral:rRNA from 1 species